rfam:Dipodomys ordii contig_9109, whole genome shotgun sequence.
GGUGGCUCAGUGGUAGAGCGCUUGCCUUGUAUGAAUGAGGCCCUGAGUUCAAUUCCUCAGCACCA